rnacentral:lncRNA from 1 species
AUAAAAAAGUUCCUAAGUUGCGCAGCCCCCGGCCCUUUUAAAUUGUGCGUCUUCUUUUUCUCAUGUGUAUGAUGUUGAAUUGCUUUUGGAGUUUAGUAAAUUAUUAUGAUUAUUUUUUCCCUCUUUUUUCCCUUUGAAUUUUAAAUGAAAAAUAUUUAAUAAACUUUUAUUAAUAACAAGGACAAAAACAAGGGAUAGUUGUAGUAUUGUAUGUAAAUUGAAGAAAGGCGACGGUGACAGUAUCGUAAAUAAGUUAAGGUUUGACGGUUGUAUUGUAUCACACAAAAGUUAAAGUUUAAUGACACUAUCAUAAAUAAAUUAAACUUUGUGCAUGAUCACUUCUUCAUAGCUGAGUAUUUAUUAAUAAAUAUUGAUUGUUUCAUAAUAAACAGUUGUUUGUGCAACCAAAUUUCAACUUAUUUAUGAUCCUACUACUGAACCCAUACUUCGACUUAUUUACAAUACUAUCAUCGCCUAGUAUUAAUAAAAUUUCAUUAAAAACAAUUAGUUUUGUUAGACCGUUUUCAU